GUCUAUGGCCAUGACACCCUGAACAUGCCCGAUCAUGUCUGAUCUCAAAAGCUAAGCACGGUCUGGCCUGGUUAGUACUUGGAUGGGAGACCACCUAAGACCAGGUGCUGUAAGCA
rnacentral:rRNA from 1 species